rnacentral:lncRNA from 1 species
GAGUCCGAGGCGCUUGCACUAGCGUCGCCCGCGCCGCCAGCCGCACGCUCUCCGCACGACGACAUCGAGUUCGCGCUGCGGGAACUCGCCAAAAUCGUCAACAGGUAAACGCCGCACGCCGCACGCCGCUGCUACGAGUCCGGCGCGUGCUGCCGCGUGGUCGCCCGCCCACGCCCACGCCCACGCCCACGCCCACUACCACCGCGACGGUCGCGCCACACGCGCCACUAUCGCACCACACUCGCCGCGGUACACUAGUCGAUACAUAUAGCGCUCCAUCGAUACAUCCGUGUCGUCACGUUGCCAACACUUGCAUAAUAUAUACAUACAUAAACAAUGAAUACCACAUAAUUUGUAUAAAGAGCUACUUUUUUUAAAAUUCUCUGAAAUAUUCGUGCAACUAUCGCUGUGCAAUAUACAUAUAAUAACCACUGGAUCGGACCACACUAUGUAACUAAUGUGUACGUGGUCUUAUUAGAAUAUUCGAUAACGCUCUAGUGUCCGCUUACUAUAUUAUCUAUAACUACGUAAUACGUCUGCAAUAAACCAAAGAUACCCGAAUACGAUGUUGCAACGUUCACAAUCUAUUCAUAUACUUGGCUUAUUUAGUAAAAAUCUUGAUCGUUUUAUUAAAAUUUAUAAAAUAAAAUAAAAAAUAUACAACAUCAAUUCAAACAACAAACUUUUUAUAAGCAUAAAGUUAGCAAAUAGUUCGUUUGCUAACUGUAUGCUUCGUAUUAUAAAAGAUUAUUUACUUAAUGUGCCGAGCAAUAAAAAAAAUAUAGAGCGGAUCGUCACUGAGAUAAGUAUUUUGUAUAGAAACUAUUACAUAUACGACAUAUUUAUACGAUGAUAUGUAUAUCAGGAGAGUUGUGUAUAUAACGGAAUUAUGUAACUCGGACUGUUUGUCACUCGCAAUUUGGGGAAAGCUGCUCAUAUUGUAUAAUUUAUAAUAAAGAUAAUCAUGAGAUGUGUAUUGCGCUGUCAAAUAUACGGGCAGUGGCAACAUACUAUUGAUGGAUUUCUACUAUAUAGUGUGUUACAUGUACAGUUUAGGAUUAAACUAGUGAGAUUUCUUUAAUUUUAAUUUAAAUUUAAGUAUUAUUUUUCUGCAACUUGAAAUAGUACAUAGAAAGUGGUAAACGUCGCCUAUGGACAUGGACAACUCCACGCACCGCCUGUGUUGCCAUGUAAUGGUGAGCGCUGUAUGUUUGGCAGCGUGAUAUAGCCGCAGGGUGGCGCGGCCGAGCCGCCGCCGCCGCCGGCAUACCAACGAAUACUCUGCUUAGUUGUAAGUGAGGACGGUUCGCGUGGACGGGCCAGGCUCGCAGUACAAACGGUGUACAAACGAUGCGGCAGCGGCCCACCGGCGACUACAAUCUGGCUUCCGUAUAUAAUUUGUACAAGUGUUACGAGUGUGUGCGUGUGUGUGUGUGUGUGUGUGUACGUGUACGUGUGCGCGUGUGCGUGUGCGUGUGCGUGUGUCGCGUAGUUGUGGUGACGCAUGCCCGGGCGGACCCGGCACGAGUCCACUCGGUUAUGUGUGAAGACUGACGAACAGGUAUUCCUCGAGAUUGCAUGUGCUCCUCUAUCUAUAGGUAGGUAUGGUUGAAAACGAAUGACGCACCAAAACAACGCGGUCCAUCACUCUCCCGACUCACAUCACAUCACACUCCCGCUGCCCGGGCCGACGUGUACACCGUACAGCACAGCACGUUCCAUCACUGUAUCACGGAGCGCUUCCACCGAUCACUGUUUCACACCAUCUGCAGUUGAGGCAGGAAGCUAUUUUUUUAUGUCGGUUAAAUAAGGUUUUUUUACUUUAGAAGAAUUUGAGUUGUCAAAAUUAUAUUUUAAAAAUGCAUUGCUUCAUACCGAUGCAUUGGCAAGUAUUGUUAUUAAAUAGUGUUGCAAGUAUGGUAACGUGAUGCAGUGACAGAAUACGUGUUAAUGUCUAAAUGCAAACGCCAAGCGCUGUUGUACCAAUGCUGUUAGCGGUUGGAUUUUUUUCUCGACUCCAAAACUCACUACAUUUGCCCUGUUUCAAUAAUUGUAACAUUUGACUAGUGUAGACGUUCAAUUUCAGUGCCAAAUAUUGCAGUAAGAGGCCGGCGACAGUGGCCCGCUAGCAGCGGUCUAGCGCCCGCUCCCACUGACGUCGCACUGUCUCGUGGCUAGCCGUUCCUCCCGAUUGACUGAUGUCCACAAUCGAGAAUUUCUUGAACAAUAUGUCUGAUUAACUGUCUUCCAUUUAACCGUUCAUCACGAGACCUACUUGCCUCCGCAUCGCCUCGUAGUCGUUCCUCGCCUCGAUAACGUGUAACGCUAGAUAGCUAGUGCUGUCGACUUGAAAUCUGGAUAGCUUUCAAGUCGAUGGCGUUGGUAGUUGAGCGAGAUGUUGCGCCGUGACCGACAGACCGACGAAUCAAACGGACUUAGUUGUGCAACGGACAUCAUUAAUUUUUUUUUAUAAUUGUCAUAUUUAGUACGCAUAUCUAUUUUCGAAAUUGAUAAUUUGAAAUUAAGAUACAAAAUUAAUAUUUAUAAUAUAUUUUUUUCUAGCCAAUUGUUAUUUCGAGAUUGCUUACAACUGAUGCAAAUUUAAAAAAAAAAAAAACAGUUGUAUAUUUUGGGGUGAUACUCGUAAGUGACUGGCGACGUCCAUCAGAUGUCGUUGUCGUUGUUGAUGCCGAGCCAUUAUUACCUCGGUGGUGGCGUACAGAGACGUUAAAUGGUCGGCGACCUUGUAUGAGCGAUGGCACUUCUUGUCGAUGUCCGACUCCCCUCUUUCCCUUCCUCCUCGACACCAAUCACUGCAUACAUGCACCGGACCCCGGCGACGCUUGCUAUGGGCCCCGGCCCGCCUUUGCAUUUAAAGACUGUCAGUAACGAUCGGUUUGUUUUGGGCCUAUUUAUAUGACUAUGAAAUUUAAUUAUAGUUACGCGUCACAACUAGUGCGUCUCUGGUCUUGUACGGUUGAUAUUAUUUGUGAGAUAUCAUGAGACAAAUGUAUUAUUUAAGUUAGCGUACUGUGAUACGGCUUAUAAAAACGUAGUAUGUGGUCGAAGCAAACUACGCCAUGAACAGCGGACUGCGCUGCGCGCGCGCUUGUUUUAUUUAUUAGCACGCUUGUUGCCGGAGCCGCACAGUUGCGUGAGCACCGCACGCACGAGUAGUUCACGUGACGCGUACGAGCCGCGUCAGUGGCGCCGUAUAUGAACUAUUAUUAUAUGUACAUGUUAGAUGCGGUGCGAGUCUAGUUUGUUUCGAUCAACAAUUAUGCUCAAUAUUUUCUUUUUCUCUGUACUUGUAUUAAUCAGAAAUAUUAGGGUAUUUUAAUAAAGUGUAUCUAUACAUAUACGAGUACUAUUGGAACGGUCGCCGUGAUCGAACACGUGACAUUUAUAUUGAAGUUAUAAGUAUAAUACUGAUUGUAUGCUAGUCUUUAUUGUAAUGAUACAUGUAUUUCGUUUUAAGAGUAAACUACGUAAAUACGUCAGGUCUUUGAAUUAAAUUACGUACAAGCAUGGAUCCAUUAUCAAUAAUAAUAACCGUGAUAUCUUUAAGAAUUUUGUACUAGGAAGUGGGGAGGCGUGGUACGAGCCCCCCCACUCUCCUCUCCCCACCCCGUGCCGCCACGUACCAACCGGACGUGCAAUGAACUAGUGCAACCCGGCGUCGCUCUGGACAUGGUGAGGCGCGCGGCCACCACCGCCGACUCUAACGGGCGAAGCUCAACUUGACGAAUUUAUUAGAGGGCGGUAGGAGCGAGGCGAAGUGUUGUCUGGCGGAGGUGUCGGCGGUGUGUGGUCGCGUGCGCACUAGUACGCCCGGGGAAUGAGCCCUGAACAUUCAGCCAGCAGGAUAGUGUACAACAAUCUGUUUCUAAAGGAGUUUGGUUAAAACUGCGUUCAGAGCGACACCUACGUUUGAAAAUACAUUUCCAUAUCUAUUAGCAAUAAUGUUUAAUCACUAGUUGUCUCUGACGUUCAAAGCGAUAUCACCCCUCCACUCGGCGGCGCCUGUAUUUCUGGCGUGCUGUACAUGUUCUCUCGAUGUUUUAUGUAUAUUUUAGAGCAUGUUAUAGGAGCGCUGAAACAAAACUAUAUUGUGUUGACUGUUGCGGGCCACGCCGCCCCUUGACUGUUUGUUAUCAGCAGGCUCUGAUGCAAUUUGUUCUCAUAAUAAACUAGGAUUAUUUACUUACAUAAUCAUGAAGUGAUAGACAUAUUGUAUUUCCUCUCUAAUGUGUUCAGACGUAGUUAGUUUCUACUAUUUAGCAUUUUUUGCUAGGGCCUUUAAUAAACAAUUUUUUUCUUACCUAUAAGUCUACUGUGGCAGUCUUCAGUUUCCUUCACUAUUAAAUAAUUUGUUAUUUAAAUUUUUACUUACCUGUAUACUUUAUUAUGUUUCUAGUUUACUUUAAGUAUAGAACUUCCAAGUUUGAAUGUAUAUUUGAAGUACUCCGCGUUAUGGAUGCUUCUGAGAUUGGAAUAAAUGAUGUAGUUUUUUUUUUUAUAUAUGUAAAUAUAGUCCCCAAGGAGCAAAUAAGAGUGCUAACUUAAGUGAAUAACUUAGUGCUUAGGUAGACGGCGCCGAGUGGAGACGGUGCCCCGCUAGUGACGUGUUGCCGUACGUUCGGUCCGCGGUGCGCGGGCGCUGUCGUAGCAAUGUCGCGGCGCCCUCUGGCUAGCCACUGGAGCGUUCCUGUUUCCGCUUCAGCGCCAGCCCCGAACCGCCGCCUCGUUUCCCUCGACGAUAUUAUAAGUAAUAGAAUCCAAAGAUACAUACAAAUGUCCAAUUGUAAUGGAAAUAAAACGUUUUCUUUAUGAAAGAUG